ACUCAAAGGAAUAGACGGGGACCCGCACAAGCGGUGGAGCAUGUGGUUUAAUUCGAGGCUACGCGAAGAACCUUACCCAGGCUUGACAUGUAGUUGACAGCCUAUGAAAGUAGGUGUCCUCGCAAGAGGCAAUUACACAGGUGCUGCAUGGCUGUCGUCAGCUCGUGCUGUGAAGUGUUGGGUUAAGUCCCGCAACGAGCGCAACCUUUGUUCUUAGUUGGCAUCACGUCAUGGUGGCCACUCUAGGAAGACUGCCGGUGAUAAACUGGAGGAAGGAGGAGACGACGUCAAGUCAGUAUGGCCCUUAUGCCUGGGGCUACACACGUGCUACAAUGGCCGCCACAAAGGGCUGCAAACCCGCGAGGGGGAGCAAAUCCCAAAAAAACGGCCCCAGUUCAGAUUGAAGGCUGCAACUCGCCUUCAUGAAGUCGGAAUCGCUAGUAACGGUAGAUCAGCUACGCUACCGUGAAUACGUUCCCGGGUCUUGUACACACCGCCCGU
rnacentral:rRNA from 1 species